UGACAAUAUUAUUUUAGUUUGAUAUUAUUUUAGUUUAAUAACAGUAAGAAAUCAUGACAGUAUUAUUUUAGUUUGAUAUUAUUUUUUUAUUUUUCAACUUAUUUUAUUGUUGUUGUUGUUGAAUUCAUAAUAAAUAGUGUUUGUAUAUACACUUAUACAAACAAUUUAGAUGAUACUACUAUUUAUGACAACAACAAUAAUAUUUUUGUUUACACACGCCAUGUAGAUGACCUGGAUAUGUUGAACAAGCAUUCAAACACCCUCGAAUAUUACAUUCUUCUGGCCCUACAUUCCAACAACAAUAUUCUUCACAUUUUGGAGGAAAAUUUACUCCUUCUUCUAAAAAAUAAAAUAAAAAUGCCAUUAGAAACAAAAGAGAAAUUUGAUAACAAAUCAUAGACAUAGAAUUAAAACAAAACAUGGUUUCUAGAUCUGAAAAAUAUAAUUCAUUUCAAAAGAUUAUAGGUCUAGUGUCACCUGAUGUUGAUGCUAAGACUACAAGAAUGCAUAGAAUUGCAAAGGUAUAAUGGUGAGUAUUGAUGCGAGUAGUCAUUUUUCUAUGUUAAAGAUAGAUUC
rnacentral:lncRNA from 1 species